rnacentral:rRNA from 1 species
GGUGAGUAAUGCAUAGGAAUCUACCUAGUAGUAUGGGAUAGCCACUAGAAAUGGUGGGUAAUACUGUAUAAUCCCUGCGGGGGAAAGAUUUAUCGCUAUUAGAUGAGCCUAUGUUAGAUUAGCUAGUUGGUAGGGUAAAGGCCUACCAAGGCGAUGAUCUAUAGCUGGUUUGAGAGGAUGAUCAGCCACACUGGAACUGAGAUACGGUCCAGACUCCUACGGGAGGCAGCAGUGGGGAAUAUUGGACAAUGGGCGCAAGCCUGAUCCAGCUAUGCCGCGUGAGUGAGGAAGGCCUUAGGGUUGUAAAACUCUUUCAGUAGGGAAGAUAAUGACGGUACCUACAGAAGAAGUCCCGGCAAACUCCGUGCCAGCAGCCGCGGUAAUACGGAGGGAAACAAGCGUUGUUCGGAAUUAUUGGGCGUAAAGGGCAUGUAGGCGGUUCGGUAAGUU